UUCUUUUCUUUUUCUCUCUGGCUCCCUCUCUCUCAGAGAGAGAUUGAUUCUCUCAUCUCUUCCAUCUCUAUACGCUUGAAAUCUCACCAACUCUCUCAUGUCUCACAUUUCAGAUCUGGUCAACUGAGAAAGGAUGGAGAUGCUAAUGUAGACGACGAAGACAGAGACUCGCUGGGACGAAGCGCCGAUGCUCACCGGAGAAGAAGAAGACGCCGGAGUAGAUGAGGCAGAGAAGAUGAUGUUUGGUGGUGGUGCAUAGAUCCGAGGAAGAGGUAGAAGAAGAAGACGCCGCCGGAGUAGAUGAGGCAGAGAAGAUGAUGUUUGGUGGUGGUGCAUAGAUCCGAGGAAGAGGUAGAAGAAGAAGAGGGGAAGGCGGCGAGUUUGGUCGCUUCGGCGGUAGAUCUCGAAGAAGAUGGAUGAGAUGGGGCAUCAUGGAAACGACCACGAUGGCGGCGUGGAGAAGGUCCAAGCUCCGGUGUGCUGGAGCUCUCGUGAUGUACUCUCGGUGGAGAGAGGCGGCGGCAGUGACAUUAGUUAGGUUUAUGGUUAGGUUAUAUUUUUUAAUUAAAUUUUAUUGUUAACUAGA